GGGGAUGAAAGGAUUUCGACGGGGCUUAAAAACAAAGGAAAGCGAGCGGUGCUGUGAUAAUCACCUUAAAAUGUCACAAGUUUCAAUAAGAAACGACAAAAAUUUACAAUUACAAGCAGCUUAAUAUAAGUUGCCAUCGUCUUUAAAACCUCCCGCAGUUUUAUCGUACGGUGUCAUUUUAGCGGGGUACGUGAAUAUGCUUUUUUCCGAAGUGUAUCAUGAUUACAGGGAAUAUAUUUCAAAAGAUUUUGUUAAUUUUUAUUUUGGAAUGAAUAAAUUAAAUUGACUACGCUCGUAGAAAACUUUGCGGAUGAGUGCUCGGACGCGGUUUCGAUUGCCGCCAUCUCCACCA
rnacentral:tmRNA from 1 species